rnacentral:rRNA from 1 species
CCUACGGGAGGCAGCAGUGAGGAAUAUUGGUCAAUGGACGCGACUCUGAACCAGCCAAGUAGCGUGAAGGAUGACUGCCCUAUGGGUUGUAAACUUCUUUUAUAUGGGAAUAAACUGUUCCACGUGUGGGAUAUUGUAUGUACCGUAUGAAUAAGGAUCGGCUAACUCCGUGCCAGCAGCCGCGGUAAUACGGAGGGUCCGGGCGUUAUCCGGAUUUAUUGGGUUUAAAGGGAGCGUAGGUGGAUUGUUAAGCCAGUUGUGAAAGUCUGCGGCUCAACCGUAGAACUGCAGUUGAAACUGGCAGUCUUGAGUACAGUAGAGGUAGGCGGAAUUCGUGGUGUAGCGGUGAAAUGCUUAGAUAUCACGAAGAACUCCGAUUGCGAAGGCAGCUCACUGGACUGCAACUGACACUGAGGCUCGAAAGUGUGGGUAUCAAACAGGAUUAGAUACCCCUGUAGUC